rnacentral:lncRNA from 1 species
ACCACUUCUUGCUUAACUCUCUCAAAGAAUCAGAGAAGGAAAAUGAUAGUUUUCCUUCAACUUGUUUUCUUUUCAGCAGCUUUGGAAGGUAAAUUCAUUCUUCCAGUCGAAGAAAGCUGGUACAUUCUGGGUGUUAAUAACAGGGAUCUGGUCUCUCAAUAUGUCUUUCCUUCUAGGUGUCCAAUCAGAGGUCCAGCUGGUUGAGUCUGGGGGAGAUGCGAAAAGGCCUGGGGAGUCCCUCCGCCUCUCCUGCCAAGCCUCCGGGUUCAACUUUGGGAAUGCUUACAUGAACUGGGUGAGACAGGCUCCUUGGAAAGGCCUGGAAUGGGUGGCCUACAUAUAUCCCCAAUCUAAUUCCAUUUACUACUCGGAUAAAGUGAAAGGAAGAUUCACCGCCUCCAGGGACAAUUCCAACAGCCUCCUCUAUCUGCAAAUGAACAAUCUGAAACCUGAGGACACGGCUGUUUAUUACUGUGCAAG